UGUCCCUUUGUGUGGUAAAAUAAAUUCAAAGAGAUUUUUCUGGCUUCUGAUUUAAAAUCCUUGAACAUCCCUAAAGCAAUUACAUCAAUUGUUCAUGGUACUUUUACUGUGUUUUAUCCAUCAUUUGCAUAUUCACCUAGAAAUUAGGUGGGGAGGGAUGGGAUCCAACAGCAUGUGACCAGCCAGCUCUCUGCAGGCCACCAGAAAGUACUCCACAUACCAUAGCUUAGGAACUUCUGACCUGUGAUAUACAACUCGUAUAUGUUCCAGCUGACUUUCAUAUCUUCACAUGUUCCAAGUAUUCCCUGGUGGGCUCUGUUCUUUGUGAAGGACUAUUUUUAUAGGUUUUCUCAUUUCUUAGCUGUCUGAACUUAUUUAUUUCUGUAGCUGAAAACAGAUUUAUAAUCAAGUUCAGUAACUCAGUCAUGUGACUCCUUAUUGGCUUGAUUCCCUUGUCCCUUAUUAAUAAUUUUCUGACUCCCUGUUCACACUAAUGUGGCUAACUACCCCUCUCUGCUUUUUUUCUGAUAGGUUUAUAAAAGAUGUUAUUUCCUUGGAUUAGCAUCAACUCCCUCCAGUUUUUUCUACAUGAUGUCUUGGGAGUCAAGCCUCCCUCCAACACAUCAGCUCCCAAAUUCACGACACCUAAAGACAGCCAGUGUUAGCCCACAAUUCAGAAGCUUCAACCAGACAAUGAAGAGUUUUGUGUGAUUCUUUCUGGACCUUUUUCACUGCAACGGUUGCCUACUGUAAGCGCCUUUAAAUACACAGGUAACAGGGCAUUUGGGUUUUUUUUUUUCAGAGAAUGAAAUUAUCACUGGAAAAAUGUGUUUUUUGUUGUCCCAAAAUUUAGUUGUGAAUAAACUGUAAACAGUUUUUGCUUGAAAAAAAUAUUUUCAGAACCAGACUCACCAAACAGUUAAGAAUGGUGGGCUUCCUCCUACCAGAGAAUCCAAUCUUUAGCGCAUUCACAUGGAGUGUGCAAGACCCAACACAUCAAUCCAUAUCCCCCACUGCUCUAGCCUAAAUAUAACCUCUACUUUACAUAAUUAAAUAUUCACUGGAGCAGGAACUAGAUCUAAGGUAUCCUAACCACCAGACUUGAAUCGUCCUCCAAACUUCUUCAAAUCUGCUUCUUCCAGAUUCAGGGAUUUAAACCAGCAUCUUCCACCUCUCAAGAGAAUUCUGAAAACCAGGAUCCCUGAUGAACAACUGAAGAUGGUUACCUUCUUGAACCCUACCCUGUUUCCAGCAUCAUUACACCAGCAAGAAGAAAACAAUACAAUUCUUGUUUUUCUUUUCAUAAGUCAGUCUCAAUUUUAU